CCCUCUCAUGCUUUCUUUGCUCUCUUUUCCUAUCAGCUGGUGGAAUAUAGAGAGCUGGGAGGACCUGGUGUGGGUGUUCUCUUCAUCUCCUGGGUACACGGCUGGAUGAUAUUUCCUGGAUUUUAGUGUAGUUAGGUGUGGCCAAGCUUUGGCCAGUGGAAUUUGAACAGAAGUCACGUGUCCAAAUCCCAUGCCUGGUCUAUAAAAUCUUCCCAUCCGUAAUCUUCCUGCUUUCUUUACUCACUGAAUAGAUAAAAAUUCCAGGGACCUGGAAGAGUGUAGGGCCACAAGCUGGAAGUAGCCUAGAUCCCGAGGAACAUCAUGGAAAACAGUGCCCUCACCCCUUCCCGUGAGGUGGUGAAACAGAAUUUUCUGAAGACCAGACUCUUGUACAUAAUGGGAAUUUUCUUCUAGAAGUUGGAGGUGUUUUAAGGACUUUAUGUGCCUCAGAGAGGAGAAGCCGACCAGGAGGCAACACAACUACACACUGUGUGAACUGAACCUCAGAUACCACUGGCCUGUCACCAACAGAUUUUGAAGCAAAUGAUGUGAUUGUUCACCGAUUAUCAGUGCAUCUGUUAUUUACAUAGUGAUUUGUGAACUGACAAGUUAGCAGCAGUUUCUGCUUUAUGCAAUUGUUCUGUUAAUAGACUGUGAUUGUGGUAAUUAUCUCUGGACAUUGAAAUGACCGGAUUGGGGCGUGCUCCACGGACCACUCCUGGAACACAUUGCAGAGGAGAGGAUUGUGUCUCUGGAACUCUUCUCCUUUGAAGGAGUCUUUGGACUAGGCAGAAAGUGAUCAAUUUCCUCUCAUAUUACCCUCAACCUGCGGCCUAUUUGUACUCCUGAUUGGAUAAAAGGGUUAAGAAGAACAAAAUGGUUGGAGAGAUUUUUGAAUUUUUAUGAUAAUUAUUUGGUGUCCCAGGAUCUACUGAAUGUCUCAAGAGAGGAACUUUUUUCCACUUCACAAAUUCUAAUUUUUGACUUGAUAAAGAAUGAUGAAUAUUUGUCACACAGAUAUUUAAAUGGAAUCAGGGCUGUAUAUAACCAUGACAUAAUACUUUGUCAAAAAGUGAAAAGUUAAUCUGGUUGAAGGUAUUUUUACCUGGCAUAUGGAGAAGAUGAUGACAAUAAUGUGGAACUUGAUUAGACAUCAACAGAGACUCAAUGCCUCCUGGAAAACACCUGAGAAAUGAUUGAAGCUCGCUCUGGUCUUGCCUGGAAUCAUGCAUAACAUUUGUUGCUGCCUGCAUGUGGAUUCAUUUUAGCAGUUUAUCAAUUUGGACAGGGAAUUUUGAAUAAAAAAUUUUGGCAGUCAUUAUAGUGACUCUUCUGAGACUGAAAAUUCAGGUAACAAGGAAAAUCAGUGACUCUUUCUCUCUGCUUUCUUCAAAACACAAAUAAUCCAAUGAUGUAUAGGCUGCAUUGCCCUUUGAUUUGUUACCUUAGAGAUCAUUACAUGUUAGUACAUAAAGAAACUUCCCAAUCUUCUUUUAUAGCAUCCAGGUACUCCAAUGUGUAAUUCAGCCAUAACUUAAUAAAAUGGACUCUGUUUGAUAAACAUUUGGAUUAUUUCAAAUAUUUUACUAUUAUAAAGAAUGUUGAA
rnacentral:lncRNA from 10 species